GUUCUCUUUUUUGGAAGACAUAAUUGAGAAAAUAUGGGUAGUGAUUAGCACAGUGUCAAAUACACUUAGUAAGUGUGCUUCCUCCCAAAUCUGAGGAAGGAUGAUAACAGUGAUGAAAGAGUUUGUGAUGUUGAGAAGCCAAGUCUGUUGUCCAGCUGACCUUGUCUUUUUCAUGGACUCUGUGUCACCUCUCUGAUCCUCAGGCUCUUCAUCAGGAAAAUGGCAAAAAAAAAUAACUCACAUUUAUUGAGGAGUAUGUGCCAACCACUGCUCUAAGUCUUUUUGCAUGUAUUAACUAAUUCAUUUGAUGCUCACCGUCCCACAGGGAAGAUAUUUUUAUUUUAUACAUGAGGUAACCGAGGCAGAGAGAGGGGUGUGUCCAUUAGCCCAAGGGCACACAGCCAUUAAUGCACACAGCACACAGCCCAAAUGGCGUAGCUCCCAGAGCUGACACCCUUUUUUGUGUGGACUAUUCAAAUAUAAAACCAACAAAGAACAUAGUCAUUGCAGGAAAAUAACAAACAAUCAUGGUGGUGGAGAACAUUAGUGCUCACUAACGAUAAAGGCCUCUGUAUCAGUAGGAUCGUAUGACUAUUAUCCAUCAACGGAAGGGGAGCGGGCCCUCAACAGGUAUUGCUUUAAGCACAUUAAGUCGGAGAAGUUUAAGAAUGUGUCUUUUCCACCUAUUUUCUCAUCUGAACUUGUGGAAGGAAACGACUUUGAGAUGACACACUUGCAAGUGUAAAGCAACGUGUGUACAUGAAUUUCUCCUGGAAUAGAACCAAAUAAGAGAGCCCCCCAGCAUGCAUUGGACUGUGAAGUGGGAAUGGUGCCAGAGAUGACCUUGGAAGAUCACGUACCUCCUCUAACCUCGGAGGAAAUACAAAUGGCGCAGGCACAGCUGUUGAAGAAACCGCAGACUCUGCAGAAAAGCGCGAGUGUCAGCCCCUUCGGCGGAGUGUCAGCCCCUUCGGGCGGAGGAAGAGCUCAGGAGAAGCUCUUGGCCCACCGUCUGGGUUCUGGCCCUUGAGGCAGGGAGGAAAGAUAUAGACUUCUAUUACCUGCCAUCUUCAAUAUUCACAGCAACCAGAAGAGGGGAAGUUGCUGGAAUCUGGGUGAAGUUCCCCAGCGGGAUCCCAGUAAGACUCCGCUGUGCUCCCUUAGGGGGGUCUGUGAUGUCCUGUUCUUUGAAAAACUAAAACCCAGCCAAUGGCCUCCUUCUUUCUGUUCCAAGUGCCUAAGACACAGAGAACUGAAGGCCCUGAUUCAGAAGAGAGUCAUGCUGACCCUCUUGAAAGGCGGUGGGGGAGCGCUCCCCAGGGAGCAGUUCCUGCCAGCGCUGGACAAGACCAAGUUCCUGGGCCCGCAGGGGCUGACCGUGACCCAGUUCCAGGGCGUCAUGCGGUAGGGGACAUGGAGCCCUCGGGGGCGUGUGCCCUGCAGCCCUGGGCCUUGGAGAUGGUGGGAUCUGGCAGCGUGAGAAGAGGAAGAAUUUGUGCUUCACCUUUUCCCUUCAAGUGUGUCUUUAAAAAGGAUGAUCUCAUGAAUAACCAACUUUUAAAAGGUGGCAAGUACCUUGCUAGCAAUUCUAAUGACAGUGAGAGCUCCGGAUAUUGAUGU
ensembl:lncRNA